UGAUAUAAGUGUCAUAAGUCUUCCUCCACUUGUGCUUGCACAAAAGUGGAGGAUAGACUUCAUGACACGCCCCACAUGACUGGUGGCAGAUUCCGCAGGAAUCUGGCAUGUAGCG
rfam:Lachnospiraceae bacterium JC7 contig00004, whole genome shotgun sequence.